rnacentral:rRNA from 1 species
UGGGGAAUAUUGGACAAUGGGGGAAACCCUGAUCCAGCGACGCCGCGUGAGUGAAGAAGUAUUUCGGUAUGUAAAGCUCUAUCAGCAAGGAAGAAAAUGACGGUACUUGACUAAGAAGCCCCGGCUAACUACGUGCCAGCAGCCGCGGUAAUACGUAGGGGGCAAGCGUUAUCCGGAUUUACUGGGUGUAAAGGGAGCGUAGACGGCAAAGCAAGUCUGAAGUGAAAGCCCCGGGCUCAACCCGGGAACUGCUUUGGAAACUGUUUAGCUAGAGUGCAGGAGAGGUAAGUGGAAUUCCUAGUGUAGCGGUGAAAUGCGUAGAUAUUAGGAGGAACACCAGUGGCGAAGGCGGCUUACUGGACUGUAACUGACGUUGAGGCUCGAAAGCGUGGGGAGCAAACAGGAUUAGAUACCCUGGUAGU